rnacentral:rRNA from 1 species
UGGGGAAUAUUGCACAAUGGGCGGAAGCCUGAUGCAGCGACGCCGCGUGAGGGAUGAAGGCCUUCGGGUUGUAAACCUCUUUCAGCAGGGACGAAGCGUGAGUGACGGUACCUGCAGAAGAAGCACCGGCUAACUACGUGCCAGCAGCCGCGGUAAUACGUAGGGUGCGAGCGUUGUCCGGAAUUACUGGGCGUAAAGGGCGCGUAGGCGGCCACCGCAAGUCGACUGUGAAAUCUCCGGGCUUAACCCGGAAAGGUCAGCCGAUACUGCGGGGCUAGAGUGCAGAAGGGGCAACUGGAAUUCUCGGUGUAGCGGUGAAAUGCGUAGAUAUCGAGAGGAACACCUGCGGCGAAGGCGGGUUGCUGGGCUGACACUGACGCUGAGGCGCGAAAGCUAGGGGAGCGAAC